UUGUGCCUUGAGGUUCAGUUUGCUGUUGUUGUAUUGUUGUCACAUGUUUUUAUGCUAAUCUUUUAGAUGGUAAAUAUAGAAGUCUUUAUUCAAUUAACAAAGAAUUAGUCAUUAAGGGAUGGUGAAUGAAAUAAAAUGGUGAGAAAUAUUAUCCUCUUAAAUAUGAAAUUAAUGCAUAAGAGUGGACACGUGCAGUACAGCAAGGGAUGGAAUAAAGCCGGAAAAGACCAAAAGCAAUAUUGAAACAUCCCUCAGCUCUCUGUUUAGCAGUGCCAGCCAGCAAGGAAGAAGAGAAUCUGCCUACGGAGUCAAAAGAGCAAACUGCAACCCACCACUCUCCUUAUUAAGACAGCUAGGAAAUGUCUUCUCUGUCCUUAUAGCAGGGAAACAGGAUCCAUGUGGCUAAAUCCAAUAGACCAGCUCAUACAUCAUAGCUGCAAGGACUUCUGCAUUUUCUCUCUUUAUUUAGUGUUCACGCUAAGCUUGGCUGUGUGAAGAGCUUCCCUUUAGGACUCCCACAAUAUAUCCUUCUUCCUAUCUCUUUUUUGAUUGGGGUAGAUCCACACUUGACAUUGUGAACAAAUGAGCUUCAGUAACUUUUAAGUCCCACUUCAAGUCUUACUGAGUUCUAACACUUCCUGACAGAUUAGGGCAACCCUGUUAUAUACCCUCUGAGAACUGGUAAAUCUUUUUGCUCUUCAUGAUAACUGCCAAGUGGAAGAAGUUGAAUACACAUCUAACCUCACUUUGGAAAUCACCUUGCUUCAGGAACAUGCUAUUUCUCUCAUUUGAUAUUAAAUCUUUGACAGAAUCCAACAGUUGCAGAUGAGCCAAUUUUUUGAGAUAGAAGAGCAAGAAAAAGUCAAAGGUAUCCCUUUUUUUUUUUUUUUUUUUUUUUGGUUGUUUUUAAUCUUGGCAUUCUGUUCAUGGAGAGAUCUUUGUUGCCAACAUGUCUGCUGCUUCUCCAUCUCUCACCCUUCAGGUUUCUUAAAAUAGCUAAGAACACAGAGUUUCUAAGCCCUUAAAACACACUCACUGGGAAAAAGGGUAUGCAUGAAGUUAAAAAAAAUAUAUAUUUAUACUGUAAGCCCUGCAACCUGGCUUCCUGCCCACGUUUGGGCAUCUGUGCUGUCUCUGGAUACCUCAACUCAUACACACAUGCCAGAUCCAAAGAGGAAGAAAUAAAGGGCACUGCUGGUUCAGUGCUGAGCCCAUGAACAUAACGCAGUAUCUUUGAGAGGUGGGUUUUGCCACCAUUAGUCUGUUCAUUAUCACAGGCCUCUGGAGGGUAGAGUUCAGUCUUUAUUAUCUGAAAUUAAAACUUCUUUCAUAACACACACUGUCACUUCAAGCAGAAUUCAUUCAUUCAUUCAUUCAUUCUUUUCAUUCUCUCACUGCAGAGAGUUUGGAGUAUGUUUUGAGGUGAGUGCAUCUUCAAGUGCAAAUCCAAAGGAAGGCAUACAGGGCAUAGCAAAAGACAGAUGAUGAUAAGUUAACACAUCAGAUAAUUUAACACAUUAGAUGAUAAUUUCAUACAUCAAAAGUUCACAUAUCUAGUGUUAAUACAGAAUACAUGGAAAUAGAAACAGAAGUUUCAGAAGGGAGAAUAGCAAUUCCUCAAGUCUGGGCACAGAAAUCAAAUUCCCUCUUAAGGAAGGGGGUGGGUUUUUAGGAGGAAGAAAUCAAAUUGGAAGAAAGAGUGGUGGCAUACAUAUGAAGAGGAAAGACAGGAGGGAAAAUUUUUGAUACAUAUGAUAAGCUUCAGAAAAGCAUAGGGAAUUUGGAGGGUUGAAAGAAGAGUAACUGAAUUCAGGAUCCAAGAUCUGUGCUGUUUAAUUUCUCUGAACUACUUCUGUUAUCUUCUUUUAAUUUUCAUGGAUUUGACAAAGGAUUUUAUUUAUGGUCAACAGAGAUAAAUAUAUAGCAAGAAGCAAAAAAAAAAAUUCUUUCCAGAUGGAGAAGUAUGACUAACCCUCUUGGUUGCCCUAAAAGGCAGUCCUGAAGCCCCCAACAGCAAAUCACACUUUGUCAAAAUGAUUUCUAAUAGUACUGCUUGCCCUUGGCCCAUCCCUUACUACCUGGAAACACUUGGCUACUAAGGUUUUUUGACUUCACAGGGUUUAUUCAACAAAGAAUAUAAAAACAUAAAGACUGUCAGCUCCAAAGAUAUUUUUAUCCUCUCUGCAGGAUUCAAGGAUAUGCAAAGAGAAGUUGGCAGAUUUAUGGUACUGAGUUAGGAACAAGUUCUGCACCAGCUGAAGAGCUUGUUGAACUUGUACAAUGCAUAGGGUACAAGCUAGGUGGGUUGUGCCAUCUGCUUAGAGAAAAAAAGCAAGGGAGAAUUUCAACAGCUGUUUGUUGAGUCAGAUACUCAUCCCUGAUUGUUUGUGCCACAGUGGCAGAUUACUGCCAAAAAAAUGCAUCCCCUGUUGCUUAAUACACCUGACCUGGAUGUUAUAAAGUUACACCUGCUGGAAACAAGCCUUAUGAUAUAGUGCUCAUAAAAUGCCAGUGAUUCUACUAGAGAAAUGUCCUGAAAUCAGCAUGUUAAGUUCAUCCUUGUUUCUCUUUGUAGCUAAUAGCGAUAUAGCAGGAGGCAGCAGGAAUAUAUCCCAGCUAAUUCUAUAAGGUGAUUAGGGCCUGGGCGUGAUGCUCUAUAUUAUAUUCAGAUUUUCCCCAAGAAUGUUCAGUUUUGUUGGGUAUGACAUACUGCAUGUGAGUCACUCAUAUUCUGCAUGAGUCAUAUGUUGAAGUGUGAAAGCAAUGCUGUAUCUCUGCCGUUGUUACCCGUUGCUCAGCUGCUGCCAUACCACAUAGCUCAAGCCAAUUGAGCUCACCUUCCCAGUUUGAGCCAGCUCUCAUCAGCUGUCUGAGGCCUUUAAAUGUGAUCCAGAGUGUUGCCCAAUGUAUAGCUAACACGAAUGCCAUAUUGGGAUUGGGCUUUGAGUUAUGAGUCUGUGGAUUAGAACCUCUAAGAAUUCUUCUGAAAGGGUUGUAAAGUGUCCAGAAAACAUAUAGGCAUCUUUAAAAUGUAUUUUAAAAAGGAAAAUAAUUUAAGUAUUCUUUUAAAAUGCACACUUCUGUAGUACUAAGGAACUAAAGUGUGUUUGUCUUCCUCACACUGUAAGACUGCAAACCUACUGUGUGUUUGGUGGGUUGCUCAAAGAUGAGGUGAACCAAGAAUGCUUCACAUCUUCAAAGUUUGAGAAACUCUGGUGCGGUCAGACCCUAAAGACCAUUAGUCAAACAUGGCACACCAAUUAUGGACUGAGGUGGGAUUUUUUUCACUGAUGAUAAAAUGGACCUUCAGUUCACAGGUGAGUGUCGAGGAGUUGCAGAAUUUAUUUUGGCUGCAGCUGUGGCUGUGGUCACCACAUAGAGCCCUUAGUUAUUUGUGACAGAAAUUUUGUUCCAGUUAGGUGGCAAUUAAUGCUUCUGGAUCAAAGCUGCUUAAGAAAGGAGAUAAAGCAGAGUACAGUUAUAUUAUACCUGUCAUUUGUAAGUGUCCAGUGAUCCUUUUGUGUGAUUGUGUGAUUCAUGGAGCUGAAAGAAGUGAUUUGCCUAAAAAAUUAUCCUUGCUGAUUCUGCCUCCAGAACUUCUUAAUUCCUGUUACACGUGUCAGCAUAUUAUGACUGUGAGCUGUCAAAUUCUAAUGACUAAAAUUUCAUUUUUCUGUCUUUUCAUCUGUGUUUGAGAAGUAUAGGUUGGGAAUAAUUCCCUAGCUAAGUUCUUCAAAUAGUAAACUCAACUGUUUGUAUUCUCUCUCACUUUGUCUCUGUUUCUUUCUAAAUUUCUGUUCACAUUAGUGGUUUUCUCUCUUCUUGUAUCUCUCUAAGAGAAAAAAAAAAUGAUUUUCUUCCCAGAACCACUGUCCAUUUUAAAUUACAUAAUCUGAGUUGACAGCACACAGAUUUGAUGCAAAAAUAUUUUUUUACCCACUGAUUUGAUCAAAACAUGGAUUAUUUAAAAGAAGAAGGAGGAAGAGGCAAGGUUAGUAGGAACCAAAAUGCACAGAAAACUCUUUCCACUUCAUGUGGUUAAAUAACCUUGACACUGGAAAAUAUUUUUGCCAUCCUCCUUGAAACAGGAAUUUGUUGACACAACGUUCAAUAAUAGAGAUACAGGACUAAUGUUAACAUGCUGCAAAUACUGCACCAAAUAGCAUCUAUUGAUCCACCUGUUAUUAUGCUUGUUACUGAAAUGCUGUAUGUAAAGCAAAGGAAACCAGUUUCCAAUUUAAGUCAUUAAUAGAUUGGUUUUGAAAUUUAUGUUACACAUGUCCAACAAAUCAAGAAUAAAAGCAUGUGAAAGA